rnacentral:rRNA from 1 species
UACGUAGGGGGCGAGCGUUAUCCGGAUUCAUUGGGCGUAAAGCGCGCGCAGGCGGCGCGCCAAGCGGAGCUUCUAAUCCCCGGGCUCAACCCGGGGCCGGGCUCCGAACUGGCGCGCUCGAGUGAGGUAGGGGAGGUCGGAAUUCCCGGUGUAGCGGUGGAAUGCGCAGAUAUCGGGAAGAACACCGAUGGCGAAGGCAGGCCUCUGGGCCUCCACUGACGCUGAGGCGCGAAAGCUGGGGGAGCGAA